rnacentral:rRNA from 1 species
UACGUAGGGGGCAAGCGUUGUCCGGAAUCAUUGGGCGUAAAGCGCGUGUAGGCGGCCCGAUAAGUCCGCUGUGAAAGUCCAGGGCUCAACCCUGGGAUGCCGGUGGAUACUGUCGGGCUCGAGUCCGGAAGAGGCGAGUGGAAUUCCUGGUGUAGCGGUGAAAUGCGCAGAUAUCAGGAGGAACACCAAUGGCGAAGGCAGCUCGCUGGGACGUGACUGACGCUGAGGCGCGAAAGCGUGGGGAGCAAACAGG